CCCGCUGGCCCCACCACAGACAGCUUGUGCUUUGUCCCCUGGUGCCCCCCUGUUUCAACGAAGCGCUGCCUCAGACCGGUUCGCUGCUUGGCUGUGCUGGUUAUCUGUGACUUUCAAAGGAGCCAUCCUCAAACAAAAACUGGAAACUACGGAAUCAUUAGGAUAAAAAAGCUGAUGGACGUAUCAAAUUUUUUCUGGAGGCUGGCAAGUCCAAGUCUGACUUCCUUGUUCAUGGGCAGCCAACCUCUUCCUGCGUUCGCACACGAUGGAAGGAGUAAGGGUGCUCUCUUGGACCUCUCUUAUAAAAGCACUAAUAUCAUGGGGUGCCUGGAUGGCUCAGUGGGUUAAAGCCUCUGCCUUUGGCUCAGGUCAUGAUCCCAGGA